GAACUUGCCCUUUAGACUGGGAUAACAGAGGGAAACUUCUGAUAAUACUGGAUAAGUUAGUAUAUCGCAUGAUAUGCAAAUGAAAGCUACGGCACUAAAGGAGAGCUUUGCGUCCUAUUAGCUAGUUGGUAAGGUAAGAGCUUACCAAGGCGAUGAUAGGUAGCCGGCCUGAGAGGGUGGACGGCCACAAGGGGACUGAGAUACGGCCCUUACUCCUACGGGAGGCAGCAGGC
rnacentral:rRNA from 1 species